AAAGAGAGUCAAACAGCACGUGAAMUUGUUGAAAGGGAAGCGSUUGCAGCCAKACUUGCUUACAGUYGCUCAUCCGGGUUUCUACCCGGUGCACUCUUCUGUAGGCAGGCCAGCAUCASUUUGGGCGGUAGGAUAAAGGUCUCUGUCACGUACCUCCUUUCGGKGAGGCCUUAUAGGGGAGACGACAUACUACCAGCCUGGACUGAGGUCCGCGCAUCUGCUAGGAUGCUGGCGUAAUGGCUGUAAGCGGYCCGUCUUGAAAC
rnacentral:rRNA from 1 species